rfam:TPA: Bos taurus chromosome 16, whole genome shotgun sequence.
UCCCUGGUGGCUCAGACGGUGAGAGCUUCUGCCUACAAUGUGGGAGACCCAAGUUCGAUCCCUGGGUUGGGAA